AGGACGAACGCUGGCGGCGUGCUUAACACAUGCAAGUCGAGCGGUAAGGCCUUUCGGGGUACACGAGCGGCGAACGGGUGAGUAACACGUGGGUGAUCUGCCCUGCACUUCGGGAUAAGCCUGGGAAACUGGGUCUAAUACCGGAUAUGACCUCCUAUCGCAUGGUGGGUGGUGGAAGGAUUUAUCGGUGCAGGAUGGGCCCGCGGCCUAUCAGCUUGCUGGUGGGGUAAUGGCCUACCAAGGCGACGACGGGUAGCCGACCUGAGAGGGUGACCGGCCACACUGGGACUGAGACACGGCCCAGACUCCUACGGGAGGCAGCAGUGGGGAAUAUUGGACAAUGGGCGAAAGCCUGAUCCAGCAAUGCCGCGUGCAGGAAGAAGGCCUUCGGUGUAAACUGCUUUGUACGAACGAAGAGGCUCGUUUCUAAUAAAGAGGACCCAUGACGGUACCGUAAGAAUAAGCACCGGCUAACGUACGUGCCAGCAGCCGC
rnacentral:rRNA from 1 species